rnacentral:rRNA from 1 species
UACGAAGGGGGCUAGCGUUGCUCGGAAUUACUGGGCGUAAAGAGUGUGUAGGCGGUGUUCUAAGUCUGUUGUGAAAUCUCCCGGCUUAACUGGGAGGGUGCGGCGGAAACUGGAAUGCUAGAGGAUGGGAGAGGUAAGCGGAAUUCCUGGUGUAGCGGUGAAAUGCGUAGAUAUCAGGAGGAACACCUGUGGUGUAGACAGCUUACUGGACCAUUUCUGACGCUGAGACACGAAAGCGUGGGUAGCAAACAGG